AUCAGACCUUAGGAAUAAGCAAGUGCAGGCAGAGCUCAUCCUUCCUCUUCCAAGCUUCCCCAAUUCUCCCAGAGUUCCUUCCCACCCUGCCCUAGAUGGAGGAUCUGCCUAGCACUUCUGAAGACCUCCGUCUUCACGCUCUGCUAACAGACACAACUGGGGAGCCCACUCUCCUGAGCUGAGCUGCAAACGGAGAAGGAGCUUGCUUUGCUCUGGAACUGGAGGGCAGUUCUAGGGGCCCCAGAAAUAGGGGGAUUUUGUCUGGAGACCUUAUGCCCUGACUCAGGCCUCCGCCAGAGGGCGCUGGGUCAGGCGAUCGGGAGAGCAUUUUGGAAAACUCGCCUGGGGAAACUGUGGACUGCACCGCCUAGUCCUCUACUCCUCCCUCUCACCUCUGCCUGCUACUCAAGGUGGAACAACUAGAAUUCGGACUUCCGAGCGUCUUACCAGACUCCCUAGGAGGCGCCCUUUAAUUCCCCAACGGUGGGAGAAAUAGAAACACACUUCAGUGAGGAGAAGAGAAACGAGACAACAACUACACAAUUUUGGAGGCUAGAAAUAUCACGGGUGACUUAGCAGACCCAAGAAAACCAAACCCGUGACAGCAAUGGGGAGGACUGAGACACGGCUUCAUCUGCUGGCAGACUUCGAGAAGGGUCAGGAGUUAACAACACCAGCUACCUCUGGAUUGGAGAGAAGGACGCAGGCCACAACGAGAGGAACGCUUGGCCGUUGUUCCAUCUUCAGCAGAGGACCUUUCCCCCACUCCAGUUUGCCUGCUCUAGCCCUUUAGGAGAGCAGGGAUACAGCCUUCCUCACAGAUCUUCCCUUCCAGUCACCA